AUUGUGCUCUUGCACUAGUUCGCAUUGUCCUUUAAGCGCAAUUCACCUUGCUCGCGUGUAAGAUGGGUCCUAACGUGCAAUGCGAGGGCUGUCGCUGAAUUCUUCGUUGCUGUCAGAUUUCUUUUUAAUUUUUUUUGGAGAGAGUACACGAGCUUCUUUGCCGAUUUAAUGCCAUUCCUCGUGGUAUGGCCUCGUUCUUCAGUCCGCACCGCUAAAAAGUGAAAAAUAUCACCUCGUCGUGCUUCCGCCAAUGUGCGAGCUGAAUCUGUCUCCGACCAUGUUAUCAUUUCAUCAGUGGCUGCACUGCUGCUGCUCUGGUACCCACAGCACCUUCAUCGUCAAACAUAUUGUUUGAUUGCUCCAAACUUAGUUAAUUACCCGAUGCAUGCUGCCAUCACAAAACAAAUAAAUAAACAUAUUGUUUGGUUGGUUGGAGACUCGGUUGUCGUCGUAACAUGGCUUACUUCUCUUUCGGUAGGUCGGAUGCAGCAUUCCCCCUGGUUUCAAGAUAAUUGCCACGUGGAGACGCUUCUUUACUUCUUCUAAUGUCUCACAUAUCUGUGGGAAGGGAAAUCAAGCAGCAGAAUAGGUUGCCGGCCAGGCACCGGCGGGCGAUCUCUGUGUCAGACCAGUUCAGCCGCAAUGCAUUGGGCUGAAGAUGGAAUCAUGUUCUAGUAUGCGCUUGGGAUAUGGGUUUGGUUUACUCUGCUGCGCUCUUGCUUUAUUAUACCCCUUUAAGUUAUGAACUUGGCUGCUUAAAUCAUUCUAGGGCAACCGUAUAUGACCAAACAGUAAUGUCUUCAUCAGCAUUCAGAUUUCAAGCCGAUCCAAGUCAUACUGGGCAGGGCUUGGCACGGCAUAUGUUUCUUCAAUGUGUGGCGCUGUCCAGCCUACCGUCAGAAUCACAUAGUGCCGAGGUCCUUGAGGAGCCGAGGUCGCCAGCGCCGUAGGCGGUGGAGAGGGAUAGGUGGAGGGGCCGUUGUUGUCCAGGUUCCGGGAGGGCUAUCGGACUUGGAGAAGGGGACGAGAGGAGAGGAAGCGGAGGAGGGGCAUCUCUUGGAAAACAAAGGGGCACUUGUAUCUCAUGCCAUUCUUUGGAUGUUUUUACACCCCACCGGCCAUUCGUUUCCUUUGCUUAUGAAAUCUGUGAGAUUUUGUAUAUGAUGACUUCUUUUUUUUUUUUUUGGUUAAAACGGGAGAAUCCUACAUAACAUUAUGAGUUCAUAACGUGCAUAUGAUGACUUUAAAGUGAACUUUUGGAUGCAAAUGAAGUAUCUGAUGGGUAAUUCUUUCAAAAUAUGAUCUAGAAACUUUGAUGUCUCGGCAAUCUCGAUCGAGAAUGGAUACC